GCACAAGCGGUGGAGCAUGUGGUUAAUUCGACGCAACGCGAAGAACCUUACCAGGGCUUGACAUCCCCUGACCGCGUAUGAAAGUACGUUUUCACCCUCGGAUGACAGGGAGACAGGUGGUGCAUGGUUGUCGUCAGCUCGUGUCGUGAGAUGUUGGGUUAAGUCCCGCAACGAGCGCAACCCCUACGUUUAGUUGCUAACGCGUGAAGGCGAGCACUCUAGACGAACUGCCGUUGACAAAACGGAGGAAGGUGGGAUGACGUCAAAUCAUCAUGCCCCUUAUGUUCUGGGCUACACACGUGCUACAAUGGCCGGUACAGACGGACGCAAAGCCGCGAGGUGGAGCAAAUCCUAAAAAGCCGGUCUCAGUUCGGAUUGCAGGCUGCAAUUCGCCUGCAUGAAGUCGGAAUCGCUAGUAAUCGCAGGUCAGCAUACUGCGGUGAAUACGUUCCCGGGCCUU
rnacentral:rRNA from 1 species